ACUCUCCCUCAUAUUUCAAAUGCGACUGUUAUGUCACAUUUAUAAGGGAGCGAGAGAGAGAGAGAGAGAGAGAGAGAGAGACUGCUCACAAG